UGGGGAUUAUUGCACAAGGGGCGCAAGCCGGAUCCAGCCAUGCCGCGUGUAUGAAGAAGGCCUUCGGGUGGUAAAGUACUUUCGGCGGGGAGGAAGGGAUUAAGGUUAAUACCUUUGCUCAUUGACGUUACCCGCGAAAGAAGCACCGCCUAACUCCGUGCCGGCAGCCGCGGUAAUACGGAGGGUGCAAGCGUUAAUCGGAAUUACUGGGCGUAAAGCGCACGCAGGCGGUUUGUUAAGUCAGAUGUGAAAUCCCCGGGCUCAACCUGGGAACUGCAUCUGAUACUGGCAAGCUUGAGUCUCGUAGAGGGGGGUAGAAUUCCAGGUGAAGCGGUGAAAUGCGUAGAGAUCUGGAGGAAUACCGGUGGCGAAGGCGGCCCCCUGGACGAAGACUGACGCUCAGGUGCGAAAGCGUGGGGAGCAAACAGG
rnacentral:rRNA from 1 species